rnacentral:rRNA from 1 species
GAUGAACGCUGGCGGCGUGCCUAAUACAUGCAAGUCGAGCGAACAGAUGAGGAGCUUGCUCCUCUGACGUUAGCGGCGGACGGGUGAGUAACACGUGGAUAACCUACCUAUAAGACUGGGAUAACUUCGGGAAACCGGAGCUAAUACCGGAUAAUAUAUUGAACCGCAUGGUUCAAUAGUGAAAGACGGUUUUGCUGUCACUUAUAGAUGGAUCCGCGCCGCAUUAGCUAGUUGGUAAGGUAACGGCUUACCAAGGCAACGAUGCGUAGCCGACCUGAGAGGGUGAUCGGCCACACUGGAACUGAGACACGGUCCAGACUCCUACGGGAGGCAGCAGUAGGGAAUCUUCCGCAAUGGGCGAAAGCCUGACGGAGCAACGCCGCGUGAGUGAUGAAGGUCUUCGGAUCGUAAAACUCUGUUAUUAGGGAAGAACAAAUGUGUAAGUAACUAUGCACGUCUUGACGGUACCUAAUCAGAAAGCCACGGCUAACGAUGUG